rnacentral:rRNA from 1 species
UGGGGGAUAUUGCACAAUGGGCGAAAGCCUGAUGCAGCGACGCCGCGUGGGGGAUGAAGGCCUUCGGGUUGUGAACUUCUUUUGCUCUGAACAAGGCGCACCAUGGGGUGUGUUGAGUGUAGGGGUUGAUUAGCGCCGGCUAACUACGUGCCAGCAGCCGCGGUAAUACGUAGGGCGCGAGCGUUGUCCGGAAUUAUUGGGCGUAAAGGGCUUGUAGGUGGCUGGUUGCGUCUGUCGUGAAAGCUCAUGGCUUAACUGUGGGUUUGCGGUGGGUACGGGCUGGCUUGAGUGCAGUAGGGGAGGCUGGAAUUCCUGGUGUAGCGGUGGAAUGCGCAGAUAUCAGGAGGAAUACCGGUGGCGAAGGCGGGUCUCUGGGCUGUUACUGACACUGAGGAGCGAAAGCAUGGGGAGCGAACAGG